rnacentral:rRNA from 1 species
GACAGAGGUGCCAAGCGUUAGGCGGAAUCACUGGGCUUAAAGCGUGUGUAGGCGGAUGCCUAAGUACCUUGUGAAAUCCCACGGCUCAACCGUGGAACUGCUUGGUAUACUGGGUGUCUUGAGCCAUCUAGGGGCUACCGGAACAAAUGGUGGAGCGGUGAAAUGCGUAGAUAUCAGGAGGAACACCGGUGGCGAAGGCGGGUCUCUGGGCCGAUACUGACGCUGAGGAGCGAAAGCGUGGGGAGCGAACAGG